rnacentral:rRNA from 1 species
CAGCCGCCGCGUGAAUACGAAGGGUGCAAGCGUUACUCGGAAUUACUGGGCGUAAAGCGUGCGUAGGUGGUGGUUUAAGUCCGUUGUGAAAGCCCUGGGCUCAACCUGGGAAUUGCAGUGGAUACUGGGUCACUAGAGUGUGGUAGAGGAUAGUGGAAUUUCCGGUGUAGCAGUGAAAUGCGUAGAGAUCGGAAGGAACAUCUGUGGCGAAGGCGACUAUCUGGGCCAACACUGACACUGAGGCACGAAAGCGUGGGGAGCAAACAGGAUUAGAUACCCCUGUAGUCCCUGUCUCUUAUAA